GUCAUGUGAGUACAAAGCAAGAUGAUGGUCACCUACAAGCUAUGAGACCUCAGAAUGGAAUUUACUUUGCUGGCUCCUUGACCUUGGACUUCCAGCCUCCAGAACUGUGGGAGAUGCAUUUUUGUUGCUUAAGCCACUCAUUCUCAGGAAGUAAUAUCUGUGUCAUGAGCUGCUUGUGGGAAUUUAGUGGAUCAUUCACACGAAACACCCAGCCUGGUAUCAAUAAAUAUUGGUUCUCUAGACCGCAUAUCUUCUUUUCCCUUAACUCAGCUACCAGCAAGGAGUAAACUUUUAUUUGAGUUCCUAGCUGAGUCUCCUUUGCCAUCAGUGUGUUUUUGAAAGGUGUUAACCCGACCCACCCUGAAGAAGUGGAAGAAGGACAGAGAACCUGAGAGGGACCUGCUGAUGACUGCAGCAGAAAUUCAAGUCAUGUGCAAAAUUUAAGAUUCUUUCAUUUGGUCUGAAGCAAAUAAUAUGAUUAUAGCAAAUUUCAUAACUUAUCAGUCAUGAAGCAUUUAUAUUGACCUGCUAAUAUAAACAAGGGAAAAGUUGGACUGACACCAGGUAAGAAGAUCUGGACUAAUUCCAGAAGCCAGCCAAGUGGAGAGAACCUGCUGAUUUCCUUGUUCAUUGUCCUAGCAGGGAGCCUGCAGGUGGCAUGGAGGAGAAGAACCCAGCAGCAGAGGGGCAGCCAGAAAUGGGUAACCAUUGCUUUGGUGUCCAGUAGAUUCAGUCUCAUGACCUCAAGGAAAGAAAAACCUAUUAUGAAGAUCUCUUGAAAAAUUCUAUAUGAUUUGUCAGCAUCAGAACUUUCAAACUGAGAACUGUUAUUUCCAGAAAAUCAAAUACUUUGUUGUAAAUGAGUUACUGGGAUUUUCCAAAACCUGAGUUUGAGCUGGAGGAGAAAGUCUAUGAGGAAUAUUCUUCCUAUUCCCAAUAGUUUGGCAUAGGAGGUGGCAGCCCCUUGGCUCCCAAAUCUAACUAGACAAUAAGAACCACAUUAGCCCCAUGGCCACCUCCAUUUUUCACUAUACAUGGUGGAAAAUUUUUCAAAGUGGUUGUACCAAACUACUCUCUCACCAACAGACCAUGAAAAUCCUCACCAACACACAGCAUUGCCAAUUUCCCCCACCCCUUAACUUUAGGCACAUUACUGGGUUUGUAAUAGUAUCUUACAGUUUUAAUAUACAUUUUCCUGUUAAACAGUGAUGUUGAGCAACUUUUCUUUUGUUUGCUGGCCAUUUGGGCAUUCCCUUUAAUGCAGUACCAUCUCAAGAAUUUUGCACAAGCCUAUUUGUUAUAGAGCAAGUGACUGAUAUAUGUGAGUCUGUAUAUGGAAUCUCCAUUGUAUUUCAUUGAUCUGGUUUUGAUCUAAAUUUAUGCCCAUCCUAGUUGUAUUUUUUAAAUUGAUAUAUAAUUGAUACAUGACUCUGUAUAAGUUUAAAGUGUACCAUGUGUUGAUUUGAUACGUUUAUAUAUCAAAUAACAAUAUGAUUGUUACCAUAGCUUUAGCUAACACCUCUAAUGGCCUCAGGUAAUUAUCAUUUCUUUUUUGUAAUAUGAACAUUUAAAAUUUAAUCUCUUAGCAGUUUUGAAGUAUGCAGUGUGUAGUUGACUAUAAUCACUAUGCUGUGCAUUAGAUUGCCAGAACUUACUCAUCUAGUACCAAGUUUUGUACCCUUUAACAACAUCUCCCAAUUCCUCACCCACAGCACCUGGUAACCACCAUUCUGAUUCAGCUUUUUUUUAGAUUCCACAUGUAAGUGAAAUCAUACAGUAUUUCACUUUCUCUGCCUACCUUAUUGCAGUUAGCAUAAUGGCCUCAAGGUCCAGAUGGCAGGAUUUCCUUCUUCCCUUAGCAUGGCGAAAUAAUACUCCAUUAUAUAUAAAUAUCUCAACUUCUUUAUCCACUCAUCCAUUGUCAGACAUGGGUUGUUUCCAUUUGUGGUUGUCAAUAAUUAAUUGUCUUA